UACGAGAGGCCCAAACGUUAUUCGGAAUUACUGGGCUUAAAGAGUUCGUAGGCGGCGCAGCAAGUAGGGUGUGAAAGCCCUCGGCUUAACCGAGGAAUUGCGCUCCAAACUACUGUGCUUGAGGAACCUAGAGGUGAGCAGAACAGAUGGUGGAGCGGUGAAAUGCGUUGAUAUCAUCUGGAAUACCGGAGGCGAAGGCGGCUCACUGGGGGUUUUCUGACGCUGAGGAACGAAAGCCAGGGUAGCGAACGGG
rnacentral:rRNA from 1 species